AGGAUGAACGCUGGCGGCGUGCCUAACACAUGCAAGUCGAACGUCCUGUCUCGCAAGAGGCAGGGAGUGGCGGACGGGUGAGUACCACGUGGGUCAUCUACCGUGAGGUGAGGAAUACCGGCGAGAAAUCGCCGACAAGACCGCAUAGGCUCGAUGCAAGUCGAGCAAAGCUCUUUCGAGAGAGGGAGCGCCACACGAGGAGCCUGCGCCCGAUUAGCUAGCUGGUGGAGUAACGGUUCACCAGGGCGACGAUCGGUAGCUGGUCUGAGAGGACGAUCAGCCACACUGGGAUUGAGAACGGCCCAGACUCCUACGGGGGCAGCAGUGAGGAAUUUUCGUCAAUGGGGGCAACCCUGAACGAGCAACGCCGCGUGCAGGAAGAAGGUUUUCGGAUCGUAAACUGCUUUUCUCGGGGAAGAGAACGGACGGUACCCGAGGAAUCAGCCCCGGCUAACUACGUGCCAGCAGCCGC
rnacentral:rRNA from 1 species